AGCUAACCAAAGGACAAAAUUCAACAUUUUUUUAAUAAUUAUUGAUCUACAGAGUCCACAGAAUAUUACUGCAGUGGUUUGGUUCCGAUCGGACAAAAAACCUAGGACUAGUUCGCAAAAGUAGGUUUUUAACAUAUUUGUGAAUAACAAUUGAACGAUUUGAUUGACAGCAAUGGUUCUUGAGGCAAAGUUGUGCAUUAUGAGGAGAUCUAUCAAAUGAUAUGCAUAUUGUGUUGAUAUGUGAAACACCACGUGAUUACAGAGCCAUAAAACUCGUUAGCGCCAACUAGUGGCCGAUUUCUUUCAAAAUUCUUACAGACCUUAAGGUUCAUGAGUCGAACGUACCCAGCGAGUUUCGUUCCGAACAACAUCCGUUAACCCUUUCAAAUAGGUGCUUAAAAUUGUUUGGCCAAUGGCAGCCAUGUUUUUUGAGAUAUGCAAAUGUCCUCAUAGGUACUUGUGCCCCUUCAGACCAAGACACUGCAUACCAAUUUUCAAGUCGAUCGAGCCAACGGUUGCCUAGUUAUAGCCAUUUAUGUGUUUUUUAAAUCUUAUUGCGCCCCCAAGUGGCAGAGAUGCGCAAUUUUUUUUUAUUUGACCAAAGAUUGAGCUCAUACAUAUGUGUACCAAGUUUGGUCAAGAUAUCUCAUUCCGUUCAAGAGUUAUAGUCAAAAUAACAUUUGGCUAACGUUAGCAUAGACGCUUUUUGGCGUACUGUUUCGCGUAAGAAUCGAAAUUUCAACUUUUUUUUGAUAAUUAUUUAUAUUGAGUGUCCAGGGAAUAUUUCUGCAGUGGUUUCGUUCCGAUUGGUUGAAAAUCCUAGGACUAGUUCGCAAAAGUAGGUUUCGGAUAUAGCUCGAUUUUGCGAGAAAACGGUGCGUCGUAGAGCAAAAAAAGGCGCUGUGCACUUUUGUUUGGGCUAACCCAAGGAUUGCAAUGAUGCCAUGUUUUUGAGUCUACGGCUAACGGUUUACGACCUGCGGCCAAAAAUGUCAAAAAUUUUAGUUUUUUGCGCUGUAGCGCCCCCGUUAGGCCGAUUGGGCCGGUUCUUUGUAUCUGAGUAGCGAGCAAGACUACUACCAUCUGACCAAGUUUCAGCUCUCUAGGCCUUACGGUUUGGGCUGCACGUUCAGU